GACUCUCGGCAACGGAUAUCUCGGCUCACGCAUCGAUGAGAACGUAGCAAAAUGCGAUACUUGGUGUGAAUUGCAGAAUCCGUGAACCAUCGAGUUUUUGAACGCAAGUUGCGCCCGAAGCCAUUCGGUUAGGGCACGUCUGCCUGGCGUCA
rnacentral:rRNA from 11 species